rnacentral:siRNA from 1 species
UAUGACAUCAUGCCAGAUAGAGCC